UACGUAGGGUGCAGGCGUUAAUCGGAAUUACUGGGCGUAAAGCGCACGUAGGCGGCUUUGUAAGUUAGAGGUGAAAGCCCGGGGCUCAACUCCGGAAUUGCCUUUAAGACUGCAUCGCUAGAAUUGUGGAGAGGUAAGUGGAAUUCCGAGUGUAGAGGUGAAAUUCGUAGAUAUUCGGAAGAACACCAGUGGCGAAGGCGAGUCUCUGGACAUUUCCUGACGCUGAGGCACGAAAGCCAGGGGAGCAAACGGG
rnacentral:rRNA from 1 species